rnacentral:rRNA from 1 species
AACGAACGCUGGCGGCAGGCCUAACACAUGCAAGUCGAACGCUCUAGCAAUAGAGAGUGGCAGACGGGUGAGUAACGCGUGGGAACCUUCCUUAUGGUGCGGAAUAACUCGCCGAAAGGCGUGCUAAUACCGCAUAAGCCCGCAAGGGGAAAGAUUUAUCGCCAUAAGAUGGGCCCGCGUCGGAUUAGCUAGUUGGUGAGGUAACGGCUCACCAAGGCUGCGAUCCGAGCUGGUUUGAGAGAAUGACCAGCCACACUGGGACUGAGACACGGCCCAGACUCCUACGGGAGGCAGCAGUGAGGAAUAUUGCGCAAUGGGCGAAAGCCUGACGCAGCGACGCCGCGUGGGGGAUGAAGGUC